CCCAAGUGUCCUCAGCCCCUCCUCAUGGGAUUUGCCUUUCAGCCAUUUUAACAGCUUUCUUGCCCUUCUCUGGAGGCUUUCAAGCAUCUUAACAGCCAUUUUAUGUUGGGAAGGCCGUAACUGCGCACAGUAUUCAAGUAAGUUCAAAAUUUA